CAGCAGCCGCGGUAAUACGUAGGUGGCAAGCGUUGUCCAGAAUUAUUGGGCGUAAAGGGCUCGCAGGCGGUUUCUUAAGUCUGAUGUGAAAGCCCCCGGCUCAACCGGGGAGGGUCAUUGGAAACUGGGAAACUUGAGUGCAGAAGAGGAGAGUGGAAUUCCACGUGUAGCGGUGAAAUGCGUAGAGAUGUGGAGGAACACCAGUGGCGAAGGCGACUCUCUGGUCUGUAACUGACGCUGAGGAGCGAAAGCGUGGGGAGCGAACAGGAUUAGAUACCCGUGUAGUCCCUGUCUCUUAUAC
rnacentral:rRNA from 1 species